UGGGGAAUUUUGGACAAUGGGCGAAAGCCUGAUCCAGCAAUGCCGCGUGUGUGAAGAAGGCCUUCGGGUUGUAAAGCACUUUUGUCCGGAAAGAAAUCCUUGGCUCUAAUACAGUCGGGGGAUGACGGUACCGGAAGAAUAAGCACCGGCUAACUACGUGCCAGCAGCCGCGGUAAUACGUAGGGUGCAAGCGUUAAUCGGAAUUACUGGGCGUAAAGCGUGCGCAGGCGGUUUGCUAAGACCGAUGUGAAAUCCCCGGGCUCAACCUGGGAACUGCAUUGGUGACUGGCAGGCUAGAGUAUGGCAGAGGGGGGUAGAAUUCCACGUGUAGCAGUGAAAUGCGUAGAGAUGUGGAGGAAUACCGAUGGCGAAGGCAGCCCCCUGGGCCAAUACUGACGCUCAUGCACGAAAGCGUGGGGAGCAAACAGGAUUAGAUACCCUGGUAGUCCACGCCCUAAACGAUGUCAACUAGUUGUUGGGGAUUCAUUUCCUUAGUAACGUAGCUAACGCGUGAAGUUGGCCGCCUGGGGAGUACGGUCGCAAGAUUAAAACUCAAAGGAAUUGACGGGGUCAUAGCUG
rnacentral:rRNA from 1 species